UCUGUUUUGUUUCUUAAAUACCACAUAUGAGUGAAAUCAUAUGGUGUCUGUCUUUCUCUGACUUAUUUUGCUUAGUAUAAUACACUCUAGUUACAUCCACCACUGACCUCUUUCUUCCUUGCCUGGUUUCGGGGUUGAUCUGUGAUGGGGCCUUGUAGCUCUUUGACUUUCCUGGGCCAUAAGCUAGUUUGGAAAAUAUAAAAUUAGCACGACCGGAAACAUUUUUACCCUCUCUCUCUCAUUGGAAAAUUGCCUUUCCUAUGACGUGAGAAGUCUGGUAACAGAAUGUGUGGAUCCCAGUUGAAGUUAAAUAGUAGAUCAGUCAGGGCAUCUGCUGAAGUUUAAGGACGGAGUUGAUUCAAAAACUAAGCCCCCAUGAGGAAUGAAUAGGACUUGGGAGAAACCUUCAGAGCAGGAAAGGGAGGGGCAGGGGACCUUCCUUUCCCCAGGCCACGCCUUCACGAAUCCCACGGCCACCGGACACAUCAGAUGCUGUGGCAUGGCCCGAGCAGGACUUGGGGAAGCUGGCUCCAGCUGGCUUUAUCACCUGUGGAAUUUAAUUAUUUAUUCACCUGACAAGAACCGAUGCACUCAUCGAUCUUUUAAAAAUAGUUUAUUUUAAUUUGCUUGUAUUGCUUGCUGUAUACAAAGCACCUGCUUCUUCUGCGUCAGUUUUCCCAUCUGUAAAAUAGGUGAGUCGUUCCACUGCGCGGUAACCCCAAGUCACAUCUUCAGCUAUAGCCACAUGGACAAAGUAAAGCCAGACAGAGGCGACCCGGCCGAUGAGAGUUCUGAUUCCUGUCCUCACGGGGGAGUUCUCGGUGUAGACAGGCAGGCACCGUCGGCUCAGGGUGGGGCUCCCGUGCACUUUUUUCUUUUCAACCGGAAGGUGAUUUUACAAGGAUAGAGGCGUGAGGACAAGACGCAGCCUCGGAUUCGGAUUCGUCGUGCUGGGUACGCAAAUCGGUAGUGCUGUCGCGGCCCCUCGGCUAGGCUCUCCUUCUGGGUGUAUUUCUUAGCCUUCCGGGGAGCCCAGAAAAUGGUCGCGAAAAUGUACCACAUGAGUCUGGCAAAGCACAGGAAUUCUGUAACACAAAAACGUUUCUUUUAAUAUUUCAGUUGGGCAGGCACACAGCUGUUGGAGGCUCUGAUGCUGAAUUCCAGAAGGAAGGCGAGGGACUGACAGCCUGCAGCACAUUUUUGACGUGGAAUUUCCCCUUGUUCGCAGAUGAGAGUUGCUUUGGCUCAGGACGAGGUCGUGCCUCGGAGGGUCCCCACGGAGCAGCGUGGUCCUCCCAGGACCUCACCUCCUGGGCCGUUCCUGAUGGCGCCUUCACUGUGAGGGACGCCCAAGGCUGCUUUUCUGGAUCGUGUUCAGAGCCUGGGCCACAGCUGGGGGCACGACUUCUUCGGCCAGGGCCCCUGUCUCUUCGUCACCCUGCAGCAUUCACCCUGCCCGCACACAGCGCCCGGCGAGCCUUCCUGAUGCCAAGCCGCGGGGUGGCCCCUGCCCACACACCUGCCUCCGUCCCUUCCCCCUGCACCCACCUUGCCGGAACCUUCCCACUGGCAGCUGAGGGUGCCUCUGUCCCACAUCUUUGUCUUUCCCGAAGUGGGACCUUCUCCGGCCCCGGCCUUGAGGCUGAGACAGCUGUUAGGGGACAGGAUUUGAGGAGAGGAAGAAAUGAGAACACUUCUUCCCUACCCAGCGCGAGAACCGAGCCUGCACCCCUAGACUGAGAGCUCCCCAAGGUCGAGCCCUUGGCUCCUGACGUCAGGGUCUGGUCUGUGGUGGGCGUGUGGUGAGGAAGUAGGAAGGGAGGCAUCAAACCACCCCCCCAGCUGAGCCCUGGCCAGGAGAUGACGGACAUUGGUGAGGAUAUCGGAGCGGAAGAAACAAGGACAGUUGUAAGACUGACCAUGGCCCUCAGCGUGACCUGAAACAGAAUCCACCCGGCUAGGCUCAUUGCCCUCUGAACGGCUUUGAGCGACUGCGUCGGUGGAGUGGGGGAGGGCACAAGUAAGGCCACAGAAUCACCGUCCGUUGAGCACCUGACACCGUAUGCUCCACACGCAUCACCUCCCUCGUUUCUCCCAGUAGCCAUGUGAAGUGAACGUCAUCGCAUCCCACUUGACAGGUCUCACGCGGGGCUUGAGAUGCUGCACUUCUGACAUCUGCCGGGGAAGCCGAGGCUCGGGUCUGGAACCGGACUUCGAGAUGGGGAGGUGCCCAGCUACCAGCAGAGCCGGAGCACGACGCUGUCGUCACCACCUGGUGGUUAUUCAGGAGAGCUCUUCCCGGCUGAUGCAAGCUGACCGACCGGGACAGUCGCCCUAUUUCAGCUGAGCUGUAAUAUCCACGCCGUAAGGCUCACCCGUUUCAAGCGGACGAUUCAGUGGGUUUGAGUAAAUUCACAAGGCUGGGCAACCAUCACCACUGCUGACUAGAACACUUUCGUCACCCCGUGCCCGGGAGCACUCAGUCUUCACCCUCCCAACCCUCCAACUACCACCCAUCCUCGUGGAUGAACAAAAGGUGACAUGUGCCUCCAGUGGGAUAUUAUGCAGCCUUCAAAAGGAGGGAGUUUCUGCCACGUAGUGCGAUGUGGAUGAAUUUUGAGGACAUUAUGCCGAGUGAAACAAGCCAGUCACAAAAAGACAAAUACUGGGGCCACCUGGGUGGGUUCAGUCGGUUAAUUGUCUGACUCUUGAGGUCGGCUCAGGG